rnacentral:tRNA from 1 species
CUCUCUGUAGCUCAGUUGGUUAGAGCGAUGCACUGGAAUCGCAGGGCCGCAGGUUCCAUUCCUGACAGAGGGC